GAGGCGAUCGAUCACCAUGGCGACGUACUUCCAGUCCUCGCUCACCUGCGGACAAAAGAGGACGAAAGCCAAGUCGGCCUGGGAAUUUUCUGCCUUCGAAGAUUCCAUCAGGCCCACCUCCUCUGUAUGACGCAAAAAAAAAAGACUUUGACGUACAAGUACGUCCUUGGUAGGCGGGGCCUAAUUUUAAAAAGACGUACAAGUUGCGCAACGAAAGACUUAAAAGCCGACAUGUUCCAGAAUUUUCACGUCGCUGUCAAUGGCACUGGACGAAGUCAUUGCGUACAUUUUCUGCUUUUAAAAGGUAGUAUUGGAAGCUUCUUUGACAUUUUUCCAGCUUUUUCCUCUGAAGCUGUUUUGAGGGGGGGACAAAGUCGACCUCGCCUUAAUAUCGCACGCCUCUUUCAAACUCCCUUUAAAGGUGACAUUUUCCUGACUUUUCCAUUGCCACCACUCUACGUAAACAGCACUGACACAAUAGAAGGUAGGAUGUCAACCUGGCAAUUUUCCGUCCUUUGAGGUACUUUCCCAAUUUAGAAGCCUCUUAAAUACUGCCUGGUUUGUAAAAUAUGUCAUUUUUAUGUCUUUUUCCUGUAUGGCUGUCUUGGAUAAACUACACCGCUGGAGAACGGCGUGACAAAGUCGACCCAGCAUUUUUCAACCUUUUGGAGCUGCUCUGUAUAAAUGGGACCGAACUGGAGGGACAAAGUUCACCCAGUAAUUUUCCGCCUUCAGAGGAAGGAUCAGAAGCCCUUUUAACAUCAACUGCAAAAGCCGCAGAUUUUUUUUUUCCAUGUUGAUCGUUACAAAUAGCACUGACAUGGAAUGAGGGUUACAAAGUUGACCCACCGUUGAAGGGUACGGUCAGAAUUUAUGUGUCGCUGUUUUGUAAAAAAACAGCAUUAAAAGUACACCCGGGAAUUUAGGGCUCAGAUACUACCUCCAAAACUGCAUACCCGGGUCGCCUUUGCCCUUCCGUUCCGCAUUGGCGCUUUUAACACACAAAUGUGAGACAGGAAAAUGGCCGUGACAAAUAGAAUGUUAGCUUCUAAAAGGCACGGGCGGCUCCAUUCCGGAUCUUCUGUUACGGCUCCCAUGCCGCCGAUUUCGCAGGAUCUCCGCGUGAAAGCGGCUCAACGGAUAAACAGAAUUCCGUUUUCCCGGGCUUGUCAUUUUCUCUCCAUCACGAUCCUAGCGCCGUGCAGCGCGCGCCUGGUUAAUGGAGGUGAGGGGUUAAUGCAAGCUGGGACUCGUUCCUCCGCACGACGCUGAUGAGGUCUCGUCAGGAGUCAAGGAAGACGGAAAGGACGUGAGAGCGAUGGAGGACGGGGAGAGAGAAAGAGAGAGACGGCGACACCCUUCGCUCCGAUGAGGACAACGGAUGAAGGAGGUGGAGGAGGAGUGUGGGAGGACAGGCGUUGGCAUGGCAACGACUGGGACAACCGGGAAAGUUGUCUGGAAGAAGCCUUGAGGUAAAACUCCGGUGAAUGCCGUCCCAUUUUCAUCGUUUCCGACUCCUGCGUGCUCGCGUCAUGACACUGUUCUAUAAUUUCAUGACUGUUGAAUCUCAAAUAGACCGUGAUUGCGGUUUUGUAUCUGUCUCUUUCGCUUUGGCUACACUGCAAGAUUUAGGCUCGUAUUAGUCUAAUGAGAUUCAAAACGAGAACCGUGUCUUCAUAAUAGCUACUGUAGAAUGUCAGUGAAUGG